GUAAAAAUACAAGUCGUACAAGGUACCGUAACUUGCUCCUUUGACGUUAGCGGCGGACGGGUGAGUAACACGUGGAUAACCUACCUAUAAGACUGGGAUAACUUCGGGAAACCGGAGCUAAUACCGGAUAACAUAUUGAACCGCAUGGUUCAAUAGUGAAAGGCGGCUUUGCUGUCACUUAUAGAUGGAUCCGCGCCGUAUUAGCUAGUUGGUAAGGUGACGGCUUACCAAGGCAACGAUACGUAGCCGACCUGAGAGGGUGAUCGGCCACACUGGAACUGAGACACGGUCCAGACUCCUACGGGAGGCAGCAGUAGGGAAUCUUCCGCAAUGGGCGAAAGCCUGACGGAGCAACGCCGCGUGAGUGAUGAAGGUCUUCGGAUCGUAAAACUCUGUUAUCAGGGAAGAACAAAUGUGUAAGUAACUGUGCACAUCUUGACGGUACCUGAUCAGAAAGCCACGGCUAACUACGUGCCAGCAGCCGCGGUAAUACGUAGGUGGCAAGCGUUAUCCGGAAUUAUUGGGCGUAAAGCGCGCGUAGGCGGUUUUUUAAGUCUGAUGUGAAAGCCCACGGCUCAACCGUGGAGGGUCAUUGGAAACUGGAAAACUUGAGUGCAGAAGAGGAAAGUGGAAUUCCAUGUGUAGCGGUGAAAUGCGCAGAGAUAUGGAGGAACACCAGUGGCGAAGGCGACUUUCUGGUCUGUAACUGACGCUGAUGUGCGAAAGCGUGGGGAUCAAACAGGAUUAGAUACCCUGGUAGUCCACGCCGUAAACGAUGAGUGCUAAGUGUUAAGGGGGUUUCCGCCCCCUUAGUGCUGCAAGCUAACGCAAUUAGACACUCCGCCCUGGGGGAGUACGAACCGCCAAGGGUUGAAAACUCCAAAGGAAAUUGAACGGGGAACCCCGCAACAAGGCGGUUGGAAGCCAUGUUGGUUUUUA
rnacentral:rRNA from 1 species